AGAAGAGCUUGCUCUUCGGCGGUUAGCGGCGGACGGGUGAGUAACACGUAGGCAACCUGCCUGUACGACUGGGAUAACUCCGGGAAACCGGAGCUAAUACCGGAUACGUUUUUCAGACCGCAUGGUCUGAAAGAGAAAGACCUUUGGUCACGUACAGAUGGGCCUGCGGCGCAUUAGCUAGUUGGUGGGGUAACGGCCUACCAAGGCGACGAUGCGUAGCCGACCUGAGAGGGUGAUCGGCCACACUGGGACUGAGACACGGCCCAGACUCCUACGGGAGGCAGCAGUAGGGAAUCUUCCGCAAUGGACGAAAGUCUGACGGAGCAACGCCGCGUGAACGAUGAAGGUUUUCGGAUCGUAAAGUUCUGUUGUUAGGGAAGAACCGCCGGGAUGACCUCCCGGUCUGACGGUACCUAACGAGAAAGCCCCGGCUAACUACGUGCCAGCAGCCGCGGUAAUACGUAGGGGGCAAGCGUUGUCCGGAAUUAUUGGGCGUAAAGCGCGCGCAGGCGGCUUCUUAAGUCAGGUGUGAAAGCCCACGGCUCAACCGUGGAGGGCCACUUGAAACUGGGAGGCUUGAGUGCAGGAGAGGAGAGCGGAAUUCCACGUGUAGCGGUGAAAUGCGUAGAGAUGUGGAGGAACACCCGUGGCGAAGGCGGCUCUCUGGCCUGUAACUGACGCUGAGGCGCGAAAGCGUGGGGAGCGAACAGGAUUAGAUACCCUGGUAGUCCACGCCGUAAACGUUGAGUGCUAGGUGUUGGGGACUCAAUCCUCAGUGCCGCAGCUUAACGCAAUAA
rnacentral:rRNA from 1 species